rnacentral:rRNA from 1 species
CACGGUCCAGACUCCUACGGGAGGCAGCAGUAGGGAGAAUAUUCGCAAUGGGGGAAACCCUGACGCAGCAAUACCGCGUGAGUGAAGAAGGUUUUCGGAUCGUAAAGCUCUGUUAUUGGGGAAGAAAAAAGACGGUACCCAAGAAGAAAGUCCCGGCUAACUACGUGCCAGCAGCCGCGGUAAUACGUAGGGGACAAGCGUUGUCCGGAUUUACUGGGCGUAAAGGGCACGCAGGCGGUUUUUUAAGUCAGAUGUGAAAGGUACCGGCUCAACCGGUGACAUGCAUUUGAAACUGAAAGACUUGAGUAUUGGAGAGGCAAGUGGAAUUCCUAGUGUAGCGGCUGAAAUGCGUAGAUAUUAGGAGGAAC